UACGUAGGCAGCGAGCGUUGUUCGGAAUUACUGGGCGUAAAGAGUGUGUAGGUGGUGCUCUAAGUUUGGUGUGAAAUCUCCCGGCUCAACCGGGAGGGUGCAUCGAAAACUGGAGUGCUAGAGGAUGGGAGAGGCAAGCGGAAUUCCUGGUGUAGCGGUGAAAUGCGUAGAUAUCAGGAGGAACACCUGUGGUGUAGACAGCUUGCUGGACCAUUUCUGACACUGAGGCACGAAAGCGUGGGUAGCAAACAGG
rnacentral:rRNA from 1 species